GAUGAAGAACGUAGCGAAAUGCGAUAAGUAGUGUGAAUUGCAGAAUUCAGUGAAUCAUCGAAUCUUUGAACGCACAUUGCGGCCAUAGGUAUUCCUUUGGCCAUGCCUGUUCGAGCGUCAUUUACACCCUCAAGCCUAGCUUGGUGUUGGGCGUCUGUCCCGCCGUUUUCGCGCGCGGACUCGCCUCAAAGUCAUUGGCGGCGGUCGUGCCGGCCCCCUCGCGCAGCACAUUUGCGCUUCUCGGAGGCCCGGCGGAUCCGCGCUCCAGCAAGACCUUUCACGACUUGACCUCGGAUCAGGUAGGGAUACCCGCUGAACUUAAGCAUAUCAAUAGCGGAGGA
rnacentral:misc_RNA from 1 species